GUCCCGUCGCACAAAGGGAUAGGGCAUAAUUGUGCUCGGUCUGUCGGCAAUGUUCCUUUUUGUCCGUUUUAUGUGGUCUUUCUUUCUAUUAGGGACCGUCUCCGGAAGUAGAAGUGCGCGUCGUGUAUAGUGAAGGUUUCGUUAAAAGUUCACGUUGUGUUUAAUUGUGAACAUCGUUGACACAUUAAAUUUCAAAAGAAAAGGUCCGACCAGAGGGCCUUUUCUUUAUUUUCUAUAGUCGAGGACGCCAGGAGACCGGAAAAGACACGGCAGAAAAACACUCUGUACCAGGGACAGUCAGUAUAGUCCAGCAAGGAACUAAAGACCAGUUGGAUAGGCGACCGACUUUUCCUCCUACUCGCAGAAAAUCAAAGAAUCAGAUAGCAAGCACCGUGUGCUGGGAAAUUGUGGGUUGCGAGGUUCUGUGUGAGUGUGUUUAGAAGCAGCUUGUAACGACCCUGAGUAAUCCCGAGCAGCAGGCUUUAAAAUUUUUAUUAAAGCAUAAGAAGCCUUUUGAAUACGGUGAAAGGAGUUUUGUUGCAUCAGGAGAAUUAUCUGAAAUAAUUGCUUUGAUUAAAAAAAAGUUGCUGUCAAGAAAUACAAUUAUAAGUAGAACAGAAGCUACAAAUACAACUCGACAAAUGAACUGAUACCGCACAGUUGAGGAAUGAGGAUGUGUUUGCAGGAUAUGUCUAAAAAAGAAGUAUUUAAAAAAAAAAUUAUCAAUGAAGGGACAAACGACAUGUCGAAAUAUAUAUAUGACUCGUUCAAGUCCUUCAUCGCUAAAACAUGAUUUCCAAAAAAAAAAUAUUGGUAUCGAUUACGACUGAUGGAGCUACUGCACGGUUGGAAAUCAUAAUGGAUGUAUGAAUCAUUGCUGAUAAUAUUCCAAAUUUUAUCAAUUACCAUUGUAUUCACCAGCAAAUACUGUGCGCAAAAAUAUUGAAAUCCGAUGAUGUGAGGAAUUUAACACUCAAAACAGUCAAUAUAGUUAGUUAAAAUAGUUAACUACGUAUAGAAAUCAGUUUGAAGAAACGCAAAUUUCAGGGCAAUAGAAUUGAGAAUCAAAUAUUUUCAUUAUUAUUACACCCCGAGGUGCCAAGUUUUUUGACGUAGGACUACGUCUUUAAUUUCUAUACCGGGUGUAAAAUCAAAGUUUCGAAAACGAAAGCAUUACGCCGUAGACCGAGAUUUUGAGCGUUAAUAGCUCCCAAACAACCGAACGAAAUGGUAUGAUGAACACUUCAUUCGAAAGAUAAAAUGUCUACGCGUUAUAUACUUGUUACUUUUUCAUCCAAAAACUUGUUUCAAUAGUCUUAAAAUUGCUUUCAAAACAGGCUAUUGAAAUCACCAAUCGGUAUAUGAGCGAGCGUCACUCGGAAAUCCACUCAGUUAUUACUGAACAGCGAUUGGAGCAUGUUGUCGCUGUUGUGGUGAAGCUAACUUCGUUUAUCAUUAAAGCGCUGAUGAACGGUGUCACCAAGAGUGUGUUUGUGCACCUUAGGUCAGAAGGGAAUCCAUCAGGAGGAGAGUGAUGCCACAAACGGUUUCGAUCUGAAACGCAUUCAGUUUGUUUGAAACUGUGAGGGAGCGCAGGAAAGCCGAUCCAUCAGGAGGAGAAUAGAAGGCGACUAAGAGAGUAUCAGCUUCGAAAAACAUCGGAGACAUCGGAGCAGCCGCCACACACACACAUACACGCGCGGAACUAUUUUUGUUUGGUUGCCAUUCAGCGUCGAGAAGAUUCUGGAAAGAUGUUAUCGUUGCUGAAAAAUAAUCUGCCAGUUCCCCUGGGAAUUGGAAAAAACAUUCAAGCGAAAGAGUUUAUUUUAAUGUUUUCUAAUCAUAUAACACUGCGACCAAAUACAUUUGGUUUUGUGAUUUUUCAACCAAGUGCGAUCAACGUAAGACCACGUAUUUCGUCAAUUUAUUUGAGGUCUUAAGAAGGAAUUCCCGCUCUACGCGCACUGGCAAACGAUGUUUACUCAACAAUUUCUCAAACGAGAAAAGGGGUGUUGUGAGAAAGGAUGAGCGAACGCAAAAAUUACAGUUGUGUUCAAAAUAAUAGCAGUGCUGAUUGAAAAUCUGAAAUAAGAUAAUAAUUUGUAAUUAGCGCUUUGCUCCGAAUUUUUUUCAUAGUGUAUUUUGAACAGAGUUUCAAUAGAACAAGUGUAUGGUAUUGGUUGCAAGAUUUCAUUUUAUUAUUUAAUAAAAUAAUCAUUUGUUCAGAAAAGUUUGUGUUCAAAAAAAUAGCAGAACUUCAGUUAACAGUAGGAAAACAUGAUUGAAAUGAUGAAAGAUUUCGAAGUUGUUCUGUAACAUGAUUAUCCACCUUAGUACUUUGUAGCGUAGCCCUUAUUCUUAAUAACAGCAGCACACCGUUUCGGCAUAGAGUCCACAAGUGCUUGGCAGCGAGAAUCAGGUAUUGCAGCCCACGAAUCACGAAUUACAGACCAUAAUUCUUCAAAAAAUUUUGGUAUGGCUUCAGAAACAGCGUAUUUGACAUCUCCCCACAAAUUUUCAAUAGGGUUUAAGUCUGGAGACUGCGCUGGCCACUCCAUAACCUCAAUAUUCUUCUCCUUAAACCACGCCUUAGCACGUUUGCUCGUGUGUUUAGGAUCGUUGUCCUGCUGCAUCACCCAUUUUAGUGGCAUUUCCUCCUCAGCAUAAGGUAACAUAACCUCACUGAGUAUCUGAGUAUCAUGUUGAUCCAUGAUGCCUGGUAUGCGAUAAACUGGCCCGACACCGUUGUACGAAAAACUUCCCCAUAUCAUAAUUUUUGCUCCGCCGUGCUUUACUGUCUUAAUCGUGUACUGCGGUUGAUAUUCCGUAUUGCGUGGACGUCUCACAUACUGACGACGACCUUUGGACCCGAACAAAACUAUUUUGGACUUAUCCGCCAUUACGCCAUUUUUCUUUCGGCCAAUCGAUAUGCAUUUUAGCAACAUUGAGGUGAUUCGAAAUAUGACGUUUUGUCAACAAUGGUACUUUCCGAGAACUUCGUGCGUAUAGUUUGGCUUCCGUCAAUCGUCGUCUGACUGUAACAGUGCUCAAAGUUAAGUCUAGUUCAUCUUUGAUGUUAUUAGAAGACAAAGUUGGAUCAGUCAGCAUCUUGAUGAUUCUUCGAUCAAUUCUUUCAGAAGUGCAACGUUUCCGGCCACGAGUUUCCAACUUGUUUUUCCAUUUCAAAGCAUUGCUUAUCACUUCUGCCGAGCACCCCACUGUUUGCUGUACUUGUCUGUAAGUUUUGCCUUGAUUUAUCAACGUUUUGAUAAAAUUGCGCUGCAGAGCAAUGUUUUCCGCGACCCAUUUUCUGCAAUACAAACAAAACAAACAUAUUUUCUUGCACAUAUCUUAGUUUUUAUAUACUUACCGACUAACAAAAUAGCAAAAAUUGUAUGAAACUCGGAAUGGAAACAAACUUUGUUUGAAAUCGUUUUUCGCUGCUAUUAUUUUGAACAACGCGAAAUGGACUCAGCCGGAAGUAUCAAAUGAUAUAUACACUGGACGAAAUUGUAUUGCUAUAAACAAUAUGGGUUUUGAACGGGUGAUGACACCUUUAUAUAUUCAUAUGAUUAGUUGAAUAGUAAUAAUAUUAAGAAAUAGCAUCAGGUGCUGCUAUUAUUUUGAACACAACUGUAUGUAGAUUUGAUGCAACAGAUAUUUUGUCUAUUGGAAAUGGAAUACAAAUCAUAUCACAAUACAAGCAAUGUUUUAUGUAUUAUAUAACUUUCGUGUGAUAGCUUCUUUUGCUGAAUAUUGUGCCUCCAACGUAACGCUCUCGUUUUCGAAGUCCCCCAAAUAUUCAUUUAUUCAUUCAUUCAGAAUUGAUUCAGAUGCAACUAAAAACAAAUGAUCACUAAAUCAACGAUAGUCCUACGUCACCCUUGCGGUUAUACCACAGAUAUAACCCACUUCCUGUUUUUUCAAAAAAGAAUUAAUGGUAACUGCCAAGGAAUCAUAUCCUCAAUAAAUAAUGCAUAAUAUUGUUUUUCGUUGUCAUCUAAGCGAAGCAAAAUAAAUCAAAUUUGAAACAUCAAGAAAAAAACUGAGAAUACUCUUAAAAGCAUAAUUUAGAAGACGAAAUUUGAAGCAAUUCGAAAAUAUUGCGACUUAAUCAGCAGAUUAACACAUAUGAAUACGAUCGUUAUGCAAAUUAAAUUUCUUCGUUACGAAAUAAAUUCGACAGAAGAUUUGAAGAUAUUUAAAAAAUAGACCGCAUAAUAUAAUUCAUCUCAUUUCCAUUCAAUGAUGUAAUCAACAUAGAAGAAAUAUCAAUGAAAUUUAAAAGAAUUAAUUGAAAAUGGGAUCUUUAAUUUUAAUAGCGAUAUAUUUUUAAAAUCUCUUGAUUUUGAAAGUAUUUCAAUUUCAAAAAUGUAUUUACUGUACUUGUUGAAAUUUAGUUUGCGAGGAAAUGUGUUGCAUUUUUGUUGCUUUUUUCGUAUAUAUUUAUACCCGAAAACAAUUUUUUCCACUAUGAAUACAAUCGAAACAAAACAUCGCUCUCCUUUGACAGAUUACUAUUUGGCAGCCUGUUUGCAAUUGAAUGGAAAAACUGCAAUUGUGGAUCAUUUUGCUUUCAGCUAAAACACGCAAUGCAAAUAUUUGACCAGAGAAUAAUCAAAGCUGGUAAUGAUAUUUCUAGAAUUCUAAGUACGAAUAAACUGCUUAAAGUGAACAGUGGUAUAA